rnacentral:rRNA from 1 species
UACGUAGGCAGCGAGCGUUGUUCGGAAUUACUGGGCGUAAAGAGUGUGUAGGCGGUGCUCUAAGUUUGGUGUGAAAUCUCCUGGCUUAACUGGGAGGGUGCGCCGGAAACUGGGGUGCUCGAGCGUGGGAGAGGAAAGCGGAAUUCCUGGUGUAGCGGUGAAAUGCGCAGAUAUCAGGAGGAACACCGGUGGCGAAGGCGGUUCUCUGGGCCUUACCUGACACUGAGGAGCGAAAGCGUGGGGAGCGAACAGG